CCAGUGGCUCAAUAAAUUUGGAGAAAACAGAAACAAUUAAGUUCUCACUUCAGAUUCAUACUUUUUAAAUUUUCUUUUAUAUUUUCAAAUUUAUGGUCUUAAUGCAGGCUAGGUAUUGCAUUUUGACAAUGGAAUCUGAAACAGCUACAACUCUAGAUUUUGUAAAUUCUUCUUCACCAUAGCAGUGGCUUAGUUUUAACUGUGAUUACUGUCUCAUUGGUCAAACUGUUUUGACAGAAAGGACAUUUUAUUGAGAGGUUAGUCCCCAAAAGACAUGCUUUGGAGAUCUUUUUCAAAUGUUCAAAUUAUGGAUGGCUUAGUUUAUACUCUUUACCCCAAAAUGAAAAUUCUGGCAUUCUCAUUAGCCUUCUCACAAAGCAAGUCUUUAAAGCUUCCCCAACACAUGUGAAAACCGAAUUUUAUGAGGAUUCAAGACCAGCCAGGAGACUUUAGUAAAGACUAGAUUUCAGAACAGCAGAUCUUUAGUUGUGCAAAGGACAUUGCUAAACUUCUGGGUUGGAAGGUAUCCUGAUAUACCUAAUUCUAUUUAUGAAACUGCAUAUGUGCUUUGAAACUCUGUUUAGAUCCAGCUCUUUCAGUUAGAGAUGGAAACCAUAUGUGUGUCUAAGGCCCUUAUGUUUUGCCUUGGAGAGUCUUAGAUUUUGUUUUGAUUUCAAACUUGGCAUCAUUUUCAGAUUUGGAGGCAUCCUGGGUAUGUCCUUGACCCUCUGUGUCAUGCAGAUACAUUUUUGUUAUCCAUUAUUACUCUUCUUAGAUGAGUCUCAGGGCCAUAUGCUUAGAAAGGUGUUGUGCCUUUCAUUCUCAGAAAAGUUAUUCUAAGUAAAACAGAGAUCCAAAGAAAAUAUGUGGAACAUUCAGGCUCACAAUCUUGUACAUAGUAAAAUAGUUUUUUGUUUAUUGUUUAUUUGAAUUAAUCAGGUCUGCUUUUCCCCUUUAUUCCUCAUUUCUUUUGUGGGAAGUGGACUAAAGCUUCUGCUGCACCACGAACCCAAGAAUUGUAGACAUAUCCCAGUGGCCAGAUGGCUGACUACCCACCGAAUCUAUCUUCCCAUUCUCUCAAGGUAAUGAGCUAGCUGUAGCCCAAUAUGUGACCUCUCAGUUGGCGGCUAUGUUUCAAGAGCCACUUGCAGGUGUGUGUCUGAGUUCCUUCCAGUGGAAUGUGAGCAGAAGGGACAGGAGACAUUUCUAGGCCCUGGGUCUGACACACAGCCUUCCCUGUGGUUGGUGCUGAACUACAGAGUAGCCGAAGACCAACUGGCUUUGAGCAUACAGGUGCAGGACUACUAUAUGAGAGAUGAAAAACCUUUGUCCUUAAAAUGAACUUUUUCCCUAAAAUCGCAUGUAGACCUUGGGGCUCAUGCAUAAGAAUUAAAGAGAAAGAGGAAAAUAAAUCUCUUUUUGUUUCCUUGCAUAGAACUGAGACAUGGAGGAGUUUGGUGUCUUAGUAAGUAGUUGGCUUUGGCUGAAAUGAGUGUAUGCGGGUGUGUGUGUGUGUGUGUGAGAGAGAGAGAGAGAGAGAGAGUGUGUGUGUGUGUGU
rnacentral:lncRNA from 1 species